UCCUCCUUACGGAGGCAGUCCUGUAUGAGAAAUACAACAUACAGCGAGGGUUGCGCUCGUUGGGGGACUUAACCCGACAUCUCACGACACGAGCUGACGACGACCAUGCACCACCUGUGAUGGUGUCCCGAAGGAAAGGUGUGUUUCCACACCGGUCACCAACAUGUCAAGCCCAGGUAAGGUUCUUCGCGUUGCGUCGAAUUAAACCACAUGCUCCGCUGCUUGUGCGGGUCCCCGUCAAUUCCUUUGAGUUUCAGUCUUGCGACCGUACUCCCCAGGCGGCGAACUUAACGCGUUAGCUUCGAUACUGAGAGCCUAGUUGCUCCCAACAUCCAGUUUGCAUCGUUUAGGGCGUGGACUAC
rnacentral:misc_RNA from 1 species